rnacentral:pre_miRNA from 1 species
CCGGCAGAGGAGGCUGCAGAGGCUGGCUUUCCAAAACUCUGCCCCCUCCGCUGCUGCCA